GCACAUCGAUGUCAUUGAUAACACUUCAAACACCCCUGCAAUUUGUAGCUAUAAAUAAAUCGUCUAGAAACUUCUAUCGACAACCACCCACGGGCAACCCUACGCGCGAGGGGUGGCCACCCCACCCCUUCCCCUGUCUGUAGAUGAUUGAUUAUUCAGUGCUCGUUUCGCUCCGGUCGCAGAAACAGGUGUUCUGUAAACCAGAAAAAUGGAGUUCAUUUAUACCAAUGACCAGUAUUGCGAAAUGAUACGCAUGCUAGCUUUGUGCGGCGACAACGUCGAAACGGCGUGCGAAAGGUUCCACGAGAAGUUCCAAAUUCGCGUAUCUCCGCUCACGAUGGAGAACGCAACUAUUAGGCUACGCCAGCACGGCACUGUACGUCAGGAAGAAGAAUUUGCCACGUUAUUCCAACAAGACUACCCUGACAUGGAUUUGCAAGAUGACAUAUGCGACUAUUUCCAACUAAAUCCAAGAGGCAGCGCCCGACGCGCGGCCAAACGCAUCGGCUGCAACCAGGUCCAAAUCUGGCGCGUCCUGAUGGACGAUUUCCAGCACCCAAUCCAUUUCAGGCGUAAUAACGAUGAUAUUAUAACCCCAGUUGAAGGCCAGCCCCGGGUGAUGUUCUGCCAAUGGCUCAUACGGAAUCUUGAUAAGAACAUCCUUUGGACAGGCGAAAAGAACUUCACUAAGAAUGAAACUCGUGAAGUACCUUACCCUUCCAUGGAUAAUCCGCCUGAAGACUUCAUCACACAGAACGUGUGGGGCGCUAUCAUUGGCCGAUACAUCAUCGGUCCAGUUUUUUUCGAGAGAAACAUGACUGAGCAUACCUACGAAGAUUUUAUCAGGUAUACUCUGCAGAAGAAGAUCUCUGAAUGGAUGGAAGACGAGGAUAUCCCUUUGGGGUGCACAAAGGACAUCUACUUCCAGAAUCCUGGUGCGGGGCCGUAUUUCCUGAAGGGAUCCAGGCACAUCCUUGAGAAAGAGUACGGGAUGAGGUGGAUAGGCCGCAUGGCUCCCAACCCGUGGCCUCAGCGGUCGCAUGACCUGACUCCAGUGGACUUUUUCCUCUGGCCUCGCGUUAAGGCCUAUGUAUAUGCCAACGGAUAUGAGCCUGCUAACGAGGCGGAAUUGCGCGAGAAAAUCAAGGAGGCUUUCGACGAAUUGAGGAAGGAUGAAGAAGUUCUGCCCAAUUUGAAAGAUAUUAUUCGGAGGCGGGCGUUCCUUUGCAUCCAUCGAGUGGGCAGGCGUUUUGAGCACUUGCUCCCAGCUGAGGACAGGCUAGUCUACUAAAGCUGGCACUUCCCAAGCACACCUACAAUAUAAAAAUAGUCCUUUCAUAAUAAUAUACACCUAUUUAUCAGUGUUACAUAUACAUCGUAUAAUAUAAUCAGUGGUUCUUAUAAUAUUAUAGUGGUACUCAAAAGUGUAUACGCAUAAAUAGUGAUAAAAACGUUAUUUCUAUAGCUACUCGUUACCUAUUAGUUGUUUCCCUAAAGACUUUCAACGACCAAAAUCAUAUUUUGAUGUCUUUACAUUGAAGAUUGGGGGAAUGCAACGUGUCCUUACGAGCGAGCAUCGAAGGCCUGUUCAGACACACGACUGAGCUGUCGGUGGACAAGCUGGCGAGAGCUGACAAGACUCUCCUUAAUGUGCAGGAAAGCAUGAGAGCUACGAACGCGAAUUUGUCCUUAGCGAGAG